rnacentral:rRNA from 1 species
AAGACGAACCGUGCGAACGUUGUUCGGAUUCACUGGGCUUAAAGGGCGCGUAGGCGGGCAAGCAAGUCCGGGGUGAAAGCCUCCGGCUCAACCGGAGAAGUGCCUUGGAAACUGCUUGUCUAGAGGGAGGUAGGGGUUGCCGGAACUUCCGGUGGAGCGGUGAAAUGCGUUGAUAUCGGAAGGAACGCCGGUGGCGAAAGCGAGCAACUGGAUCUCUUCUGACGCUGAGGCGCGAAAGCUAGGGGAGCAAACGG